CUGUUUGAUUGAGGGGUCCAUCCCGGAUUACCAAUAUCAGAUAAACUCCGAAUGCCAAUGAGAUAUAAUCGGCAGUCAGACUGCGAGUGCUAAGAUCCGUAGUCGAAAGGGAAACAGCCCAGACCACCAGCUAAGGUCCCAAAAUAUAUGUUAAGUGGAAAAGGAUGUGGGGUUGCACAGACAACUAGGAUGUUAGCUUAGAAGCAGCUAUUCAUUCAAAGAGUGCGUAAUAGCUCACUAGUCGAGUGACCCUGCGCCGAAAAUGUACCGGGGCUAAAACAUAUUACCGAAGCUGUGGAUACCUUUUAGGUAUGGUAGGAGAGCGUUCUAUGUGUGAAGAAGGUGUACCGUGAGGAGCGCUGGAACGCAUAGAAGUGAGAAUGCCGGUAUGAGUAGCGAAAGACAGGUGAGAAUCCUGUCCACCGUAUGACUAAGGUUUCCAGGGGAAGGCUCGUCCUCCCUGGGUUAGUCGGGACCUAAGGAGAGACCGAAAGGUGUAUCCGAUGGACAACAGGUUGAUAUUCCUGUACUAGAGUAUAUAGUGAUGGAGGGACGCAGUAGGCUAACUAAAGCGUGCGAUUGGAAGUGCACGUCUAAGCAGUGAGGUGUGAUAUGAGUCAAAUGCUUAUAUCUUUAACAUUGAGCUGUGAUGGGGAGCGAAGUUAAGUAGCGAAGUUAGUGAUGUCACACUGCCAAGAAAAGCUUCUAGCGUUAAUUAUACUCUACCCGUACCGCAAACCGACACAGGUAGUCGAGGCGAGUAGCCUCAGGUGAGCGAGAGAACUCUCGUUAAGGAACUCGGCAAAAUGGCCCCGUAACUUCGGGAGAAGGGGCGCUGGCUUUAAGUCAGCCGCAGUGAAUAGGCCCAAGCAACUGUUUAUCAAAAACACAGCUCUCUGCUAAAUCGUAAGAUGAUGUAUAGGGGGUGACGCCUGCCCGGUGCUGGAAGGUUAAGAGGAGCGCUUAGCAUUAGCGAAGGUGUGAAUUGAAGCCCCAGUAAACGGCGGCCGUAACUAUAACGGUCCUAAGGUAGCGAAAUUCCUUGUCGGGUAAGUUCCGACCCGCACGAAAGGCGUAAUGAUUUGGGCACUGUCUCAACGAGAGACUCGGUGAAAUUUUA
rnacentral:rRNA from 1 species